rnacentral:rRNA from 1 species
CUGCGGUGAAUACGUUCCCGGGCCUUGUACACACCGCCCGUCACGUCAUGGAAGUUUGAAACACUUGAAGUCGCUGGGCUUACCUUUUAGGAGGCAGGCGCCGAGAGUGGGGCAAAUGACUGGGACGAAGUCGUAACAAGGUAGCUGUACCGGAAGGUGCGGCUGGAUCACCUCCUUUCAAGGGA